rnacentral:rRNA from 1 species
UGGGGAAUAUUGGACAAUGGGCGCAAGCCUGAUCCAGCCAUGCCGCGUGAGUGAUGAAGGCCUUAGGGUUGUAAAGCUCUUUUAUCCGGGACGAUAAUGACGGUACCGGAAGAAUAAGCCCCGGCUAACUUCGUGCCAGCAGCCGCGGUAAUACGAAGGGGGCUAGCGUUGCUCGGAAUCACUGGGCGUAAAGGGCGCGUAGGCGGACAUUUAAGUCAGGGGUGAAAUCCCGGGGCUCAACCUCGGAAUUGCCUUUGAUACUGGGUGGCUCGAGACCGGAAGAGNUAAGUGGAACUGCGAGUGUAGAGGUAAAAUUCGGAGAUAUUCGCAAGAACACCAGUGGCGAAGGCGGCUUACUGGUCCGGUUCUGACGCUGAGGCGCGAAAGCGUGG